GGGGAAGAUGGUAGAUAGGACUGGUAACAUGCAUGUGAGAGGUUGGGUUGGACAAAAAGGCAAAGCCCAAUUUCAUUUUCGCUCUCAUCAGCAUUUCAGAAUCACACGAGCCAUCUAACCCGACUGCCUACGCUUUCUUUCUCAACCCUACUCUUCAGUCUUAGUCAUGAUUCAUGACUAACCCCCCACAACUUUUCCAUCUACUCUCUCUCUCUACUUUUGAGGACACAAUUACCCUUGCACUCACUUUUCUAUUUUGCAAGGAAGGUUGUUGUUAUGGUGCAAAGGCAAGCACAUGCACACACCCUCAGCUGUAUUAUGUGUCACCAGUGAGUCAAAGCUUUUCACGUGCCACAGGUUGCAGUUGCACAUAUACAGACUCACACGCUUUAGUUUCCUCAAGAUAUUUGUUUCUUAUCUCUAUAAAAACAAGGUUGGUCCUCACCGUAGAACACACCUCGAUCGUAUCGGUGGUCACUCAGAAUCAGGGUAUCACUGGCCUCAGGGACCAGAAGGUUUCUAAGGUGACAGUUCAACCAAGAUCGAAGCGUGUUCAGAUGGAGUAUUGGUGUGUGGAUCCAUGCUAUGCUUUGUCAAGUGAGUGGUCUUUUUGCGGAUUAACCUUUGCUUCGUUGUCUGUUCGACCUUGAACAUAUUAGCCAGUCAGUUAAUUAACACUAUAGUCAGGAAAACCCUAAUCGGAAUCACUUUUUGUUUUGUAUUAUUUAUAGAAAGUGAACCAGUUUUUGGUUCCUACGGUUAUGAAUUUUCCCUAUAGAUGAAGUGAGUGUGAUUAGUAUCAUCAGCUUACAACUUUUUGGGGUUCGAGCUGAUAACCCAAUGGUACUGACACCUCUCUGGUGCAAGGUGUCUAGGGUUCGAAUCCUUGAUGAUUAGCAGCAUAACCAGAGUAAAUAGUUCUGAUAUGCAUGUAUAUGCGUGAGACUAAAUAUAUGUAUUUUAUGUGUUAC